GUGCCAGCAGCCGCGGUAAUACGGGGGGAGCGAGCGUUGUCCGGAAUCACUGGGCGUAAAGGGUGUGUAGGCGUCCCGGUAAGUCUCUGGUGAAAGCCUUCCGCUCAACGGAAGAAUUGCCAGAGAUACUGUCGGGAUUGAGUCCGGGAGAGGGGAGCGGAAUUCCUGGUGUAGCGGUGAAAUGCGUAGAUAUCAGGAGGAACACCGGUGGCGAAGGCGACUUCCUGGACCAAUACUGACGCGCAGGCGCGAAGGCGUGGGUAGCAAACAGGAGUAGAUACCCUGGUAGUCCACGCAGUAAACGGUGAACACUAGGUGUAGCGGGUAUUGACCCCUGCUGUGCCGAAGCUAACGCAUUAAGUGUUCCGCCUGGGAAGUACGGCCGCAAGGUUAAAACUUAAAUGAAUUGGCGGGG
rnacentral:rRNA from 1 species